GCAUAUCAAUAAGCGGAGGAAAAGAAACCAACCGGGAUUGCCUCAGUAACGGCGAGUGAAGCGGCAAGAGCUCAAAUUUGAAAGCUGGCCCCUUCGGGGUCCGCGUUGUAAUUUGCAGAGGAUGCUUCGGGUGCGGCCCCUGUCUAAGUGCCCUGGAACGGGCCGUCAGAGAGGGUGAGAAUCCCGUCUUGGGCAGGGUGCCCGUGCCCGUGUGAAGCUCCUUCGACGAGUCGAGUUGUUUGGGAAUGCAGCUCUAAAUGGGUGGUAAAUUUCAUCUAAAGCUAAAUACCGGCCGGAGACCGAUAGCGCACAAGUAGAGUGAUCGAAAGAUGAAAAGCACUUUGAAAAGAGAGUUAAACAGCACGUGAAAUUGUUGAAAGGGAAGCGCUUGCGACCAGACUCGGCCCCGGGGUUCAGCCAGCACUCGUGCUGGUGUACUUCCCCGGGGGCGGGCCAGCGUCGGUUUGGGCGGCCGGUCAAAGGCCCCAGGAAUGUAUCGCCCUCCGGGGUUGUCUUAUAGCCUGGGGUGCAAUGCGGCCAGCCCGGACCGAGGAACGCGCUUCGGCACGGACGCUGGCGUAAUGGUCGCAAACGACCCGUCUUGAAACACGGACCAAGGAGUCUAACAUCUACGCGAGUGUUCGGGUGUCAAACCCGUACGCGCAGUGAAAGCGAACGGAGGUGGGAGCCCCCCCGGGGCGCACCAUCGACCGAUCCUGAUGUCUUCGGAUGGAUUUGAGUAAGAGCGUAGCUGUGGGGACCCGAAAGAUGGUGAACUAUGCCUGAAUAGGGCGAAGCCAGAGGAAACUCUGGUGGAGGCUCGCAGCGGUUCUGACGUGCAAAUCGAUCGUCAAAUUUGGGUAUAGGGGCGAAAGACUAAUCGAACCAUCUGGUAGCUGGUUCCUGCCGA
rnacentral:rRNA from 2 species